UACCAGCACCCCGAGUGGUCGGGACGUUAUUGGGCCUAAAGCAUCCGUAGCCGGUUCUACAAGUCUUCCGUUAAAUCCAGCCGCUCAACGGUUGGGCUGCGGAGGAUACUACGUGGCUAGGAGGCGGGAGAGGCAAGCGGUACUCAGUGGGUAGGGGUAAAAUCCUUUGAUCCAUUGAAGACCACCAGUGGCGAAGGCGGCUUGCCAGAACGCGCUCGACGGUGAGGGAUGAAAGCUGGGGGAGCAAACCGG
rnacentral:rRNA from 1 species